CAGUCACUGGCCAGGUGGCCUUGGAGCAAUACAGCAGGGAACUGGCCGUUCGAGAAGGAGAUGGGGUCACGUUCCAGUGCAGCAUGAGUGGAGACAGUAUGAGCAGCUACUACAUGUUGUGGUACCGGCAGGGGCCGUGUGGCUCUCUCGACUGGAUUUAUGAGGAAGUGUGGAGUCUGAGCCACGGGACACAGUUCCUCAUGAACUUCUCCAAUGCCGGCGGGGGGCUGCGAGCGCCCGGGGACUCCGUGCUCCUCUCCUGCCGCGGAUCCGGCUUCGACUUCGGCUUUUAUGAAAUUCGGUGGUACCGUCAGGCACCCGGUGGCAGACUCGAGUGGGUGUCCUACAUCAACUUUGAUUCCUCAAUCAUUCGAUUCGGGCAGUCAGUGGAGGGUCGCGCCACUGUGUCCCGGGACAAUUCCCGGUCUGAAUCUUCUCUGUCCCUGCGUGCCCUUCACCCCCGGGACUCUGCCCGCUACUUCUGUGCUGUUGUCACGGAGACAGGAAAUCCCACUGAUGUUUAA